AACUAACACGAUAGAAAAAGUCAACAAUAAUGGAAACCUCUUGUAACAAAAUGGCAACGAAAGUUAUAUACUACUACGUACUUUCUUCAUGAGGUGAAUGAACUAUAGCUUCAUAAGCUAGAACCGUUGAGACAAAGACACGUGGCGGCGUCUAAUCUGCGUUGAAACAAUAGAGACGAGACCACCGAGUGGGGGCCGCAUCUUUGACCUAUAAGUCAUUUCAUCGUACGGUCUACGAUAGAACUUGAGGAAAGGAACGAACGUAUCCCUCGGUUUCUCAAUUUUGCUGACGUGUGACUCUCGCCGGAAAAACACCGCCGGAGACUGGAAGAAAGACGGGCGAGGUACCCGCGGGUCACGGAGAGUUCCUCCUAUAGAGUGACAGUCAGUCGUUCUAGCUGGCAUUGGCGUGGAAGCGAAAAAGCUUUUCCUGGGUCCACCGAUGGGCUCGCGCCUAGCCGCGGGUGACGCGAAGGAGAAAGAACGCGCGUUUAGCGGUGAGAGGUACG
rnacentral:lncRNA from 1 species